AAUAGAUACCCAGGUAGUCCACGCCUUAAACGAUGAGAGCUAGUUGUCAGUAAGCAUGCUUAUUGGUGACGCAGCUAACGCAUUAAGCUCUCCGCCUGGGGAGUACGGCCGCAAGGUUAAAACUCAAAGAAAUUGACGGGGGCCCGCACAAGCGGUGGAGCAUGUGGUUUAAUUCGAAGCAACGCGCAGAACCUUACCCACCUUUGACAUCCCGUGCUACCUAGAGAGAUCUAGGGUCCCUUCGGGGCGCGGAGACAGGUGCUGCAUGGCCGUCGUCAGCUCGUGUCGUGAGAUGUUGGGUUAAGUCCCGCAACGAGCGCAACCCUCGCUUCUAGUUGCCAGCAUUUAGUUGGGCACUCUAGAGGAACUGCCUGCGCCAAGCAGAAGGAAGGCGGGGAUGACGUCAAGUCCUCAUGGCCCUUACAGGUGGGGCUACACACGUGCUACAAUGGCGGUGACAAAGGGAUAAUCCCUAAAAGCCGUCUCAGUUCGGAUUGUCCUCUGCAACUCGAGGGCAUGAAGUUG
rnacentral:rRNA from 1 species